rnacentral:rRNA from 1 species
GAUGAACGCUGGCGGCGUGCCUAAUACAUGCAAGUCGAGCGAACGGACGAGAAGCUUGCUUCUCUGAUGUUAGCGGCGGACGGGUGAGUAACACGUGGAUAACCUACCUAUAAGACUGGGAUAACUUCGGGAAACCGGAGCUAAUACCGGAUGAUAUUUUGAACCGCAUGGUUCAAAAGUGAAAGACGGUCUUGCUGUCACUUAUAGAUGGAUCCGCGCUGCAUUAGCUAGUUGGUAAGGUAACGGCUUACCAAGGCAACGAUGCAUAGCCGACCUGAGAGGGUGAUCGGCCACACUCGAACUGAGACACGGUCCAGACUCCUACGGGAGGCAGCAGUAGGGAAUCUUCCGCAAUGGGCGAAAGCCUGACGGAGCAACGCCGCGUGAGUGAUGAAGGUCUUCGGAUCGUAAAACUCUGUUAUUAGGGAAGAACAUAUGUGUAAGUAACUGUGCACAUCUUGACGGUACCUAAUCAGAAAGCCACGGCUAACUACGUG